rfam:Physcomitrella patens subsp. patens PHYPAscaffold_405 genomic scaffold, whole genome shotgun sequence.
UAAGAGGCUUUUAUAAAAGCCAUCUUUAGACACUUCAAAUUAUAAU